ncrna:unclassified sequences DTF3800-VIII RNA
CGUGUCCUGCGCCGGUCGAAGCCCUGCGUUCCUACGCGGGGUAUUUUCAUAGGCCGCGCGGGACACG